rnacentral:rRNA from 1 species
AUGUCAAAGUGCAUUUGGUCAUUGCGAGACGAUGACUCGUUGCUUCCUGUUUAUGGCGAUGAGACGACCGACCCGAAGCUGUGGUUGUUUAACCUUUGCAGAACACUCAGCAAGGACCAAUUCAUCUCGGUAUUAGUUACAUUGUGGGCUAUUUGGUGGGCUAGGCGAAAGGCAAUCCACGAACACGAACUACAGAGCCCGCUAUCCACACAUCAAUUCAUCAUAAAGUUUCUGCAGGAGCUUCAAGAGAUCCCAGCGAGACAACAAGUUGCUAGACUUGCAAGAGCUUCGGUUACAACACAUGAUAAGGCCUGGAUCCCACCGGGAAUGGGAGAGGCAAAGCUAAAUGUAGACGGUGCGGUGGCCAAGUCAUCCAACGUUGGGGCAGUGGGCGUUGUAUGCCGGAGUGAGACCGGACUUUUUUGGGGGGCCUCGGCUGUUGUAUUUCAUGGUUUGACUGAACCAGCGACAUUGGAGACAUUUGCUUGUAGGGAGGCACUUGCUCUAGCCGAGGAUUUGGUUGUGAAUAAAGUGCGUGUUGCAUCUAACUGUCUGAGAGUCAUCAACGACCUGAAGAGUCCAAUCCAUCUCGGCGAAUACUGCAUGAUCUUACAAGAGAUCAACGAAAGGAAACAGAAGUUUCAAAGCUGUGAGCUCGUCCACGAGCAACGCGCUAGCAAUGGUGAGGCACAUAGAUUAGCUAGAAUGGCUACUACCCUUGAUAUUGGCCGACAUUUGUGGCUCAUCGAUCCACCAGAUCAUCUUUGUAUCCCUUUAAACAUUGAGACAUAA